rnacentral:misc_RNA from 1 species
UACGGAGGGUGCAAGCGUUAAUCGGAAUUACUGGGCGUAAAGCGCGCGUAGGCGGUUUUGUAAGUCGGAUGUGAAAGCCCAGGGCUUAACCCUGGAAUUGCAUUCGAUACUGCAUAACUAGAGUAUGGUAGAGGGAAGUGGAAUUUCCGGUGUAGCGGUGAAAUGCGUAGAUAUCGGAAGGAACACCAGUGGCGAAGGCGACUUCCUGGGCCAAUACUGACGCUGAGGCACGAAAGCGUGGGGAGCGAACAGG